GGGUUUGGUACUGUUCCCUUACUUGGAAUAUAUUCCUUUGCCUCCUCAUUUUGCCUCUUUCUCUGUGCUUAUAUCUAUGUAUUAGGAGGGUCAGCUAUGUCCCCCAAUCUUGGAAAGGUGGCCUUAUGAAAGAGAUGCCUUAUGAGGUCCAGCAGUGUGCUUCCCUCUUGUCACCAGUUCCAAAUGUUCUAGGAGAGUCCCCUGUGUGGGCUACAUGUGUCCUCCUGUUAUGGCAGUGUUGCUCUUGCUGCAGGUUCCUGGGGAGGCUGGCCUGUCCCCCUGGCUGGCUGGUUAUAAUGCUCAGCUGCAUGCGGCUGCUAUGGUCCUUUCAGUCAGUGUAUCAGGUGUGGCGAGCCCCAGCACAGGUGGAUAAAGGUCUAAUAGCACAUUCCUGUUGCAGUUUCUCUGUUAAGUGAGUAGGUCCCCAGGAUGGCUGGUGCUAGGCUCAGGGGCUUACAAUUGCUGUAGGUCUCUGGCCUGCAAAGCUGUUGUCAGCUUUCUCAGAGUUUCAGCAAAGUGGAGCUGCCUCCAGGCAUGGGAGCAUCCAAGUUUUUCAGGCUUUGGAAGGUGGGGCUGAUCUCCUAUGUGGCUGUUUGAGAAACACUUGUCUGCUGCAGCUUAUAUGCCCCACCACCUUCAUGGUCACAUAGCCCAUCAACACAGUCCUGUCCCAUGCAUUUACCAUGACCUCCUAAAGUAGACUCAAGCUGCAGGGGUCUCAUAUACUGCAUCAAUGAAGGCCCAUCCCUCACACAUGCCCUACCCUGCAGAAGCAGACCCACGCCCAGGUUGCACAGGCUCAAGGCACCCUGCUUAUGGGGGCCCACAAGCUGCCCAAGGGCUUCCUUUUGGCUGGGGUCAGCCUCUAGGGUGGGCAGCCUGCCCUGGCUGAGCUAGAUUAAAUAGGUGCUCUAUUUCUUCCAUUGUGUCUUUCAUCCCUAAUAUUUCUGAUUGAUUCUUUAUACUUUCAAUCUCUUUUGUGAAGUAGCUCCCAAACUCAUUGAAUUGCUUCUCUACAUUCUAUUUUAACUAGUUGAGUUUUUUGAUGAUAGCUAUUUUGAAUUCUUUGUCAUUUAGAUUACAUAUUUCUGUGUCCUCUGGAAUGAUUUCUGGGUACUUGUCAUUUUCUCUGUGGUUUGGAGAUCUAAUAUAAUGUUUGAUAUUGUUCAAGGGAGUGGCUCUGAUUUUUUUGCAUCCUGGUAUUUGGUCACAGUUACUGCCUAUUGCCACUGGGUGGGGGUCAAGAGCCACGUAUUCUAAGCCCUCUGCCUUCCACAAGAUCCCAGGCAGUGGAGCUGGGCUGGGUGCAUGGGGCGAAGGGUACUUUCUUCUGCAUACUCUCAGGGCUUUCUCACUCUGCUCUUGUUAUCUGCUCUCCUGGGGAGUUGGCUUGAUAAGGUCACUCCCCCCUCACCCCAGGCAAAAUCUUUCACCCUGGUAGAGGGCUUCCCUAUAGGCUGCAAGGGCCCUCAGGGAUCCUGGAUGUUCCCACAAAUGAUGUCCCCUCCUCCAUUCCUUCCUUCUCAGUGGCCUCCCAUUGUCCCAGAUCACAGUCUUUAGGGGAGGGAGUGAAGCUUUCUCUUAACCCAUUCCACCUCCUCCAUGGCGGCUCCAGCCUCUCUGCUCUCCAUCAUAUGGCUGUGUGGGUCUCUCCGACGUCUUUUGUGUUGUGUUUGGGUGUCCUCUGUUGGAGUAUGAAUGUCCUUUUCAUUGUAUGUUGGAGGUGAGAGAUUGCUGGGGAAACUCAGUCUGCCAGGAUGCUGAUUUCACUCUCAAAAAUAGGUGAUCUAGUGGGUGGGGCAGAUCCCUGAGCUAACAGGCCAGGGGAAGACCACAAAUGGUGUCUGCCAGCAUCUGUGUCAGUAUGCUCGUGCUGGGUCACAAUAAUGGCUGUAGCCAAUGUCUCAGUCCCUGGAGAGGUCUCACCCCUCACUGAGAGGCCCCUGGAGCCUAUCAGGCAGGCUGAGAAGCUCCUUCUGGUUCUCAUGACUCCUAUUCCUUGAAGGGGCUUUCCUACUAAUAACUGACAGUGAUUGACAACCUACUGUAUGCCAGGAGAGAAUUGCCAAAAGCCAUGGGUCCCAGUGCGGGUUCUGCACCCCUGGCAUCGUCAUGAGCAUGUACACACUGCUCCGGAACCAGCCCGAGCCCACCAUGGAGGAGAUCGAGGAUGCCCUGCAAGGGAACCUGUGCCGCUGCACAGGCUACAGACCCAUCCUCCAGGGCUUCCGGACCUUCGCCAGGGGUUGAGGAGAGAGUCCCAGCCUCUCAUGAUCUUCACUGACCUCUAGUGUUGGCACAUUACAAAAAGGAGGGUUUCAUCCAAAUAAAUCGAAAGGGAUGGAGAUGGAGACAGGCCUGUGAGGAUGGAAAACACCAUACCCUGCGGAGUGCUGUUGAUGAUGAGGAACCAGGAGAUGUGAAUUUAAAUGAAAAUAAAAGCUCCAAUUCGGACUCCGCAGUUGUGGGUUCAAAUCCCAUUCCAACAUUUAUUUUUCUGCUUCUAUCUCCCCAAACC